rnacentral:tRNA from 1 species
CUUACCUUAGUUUAAAUCAGAACGUAGGUUUUGGGGAUCUAUGGUCUCUUUACAGAGAGGUUUGA